rnacentral:rRNA from 1 species
AACGAACGCUGGCGGCAGGCUUAACACAUGCAAGUCGAACGCCCCGCAAGGGGAGUGGCAGACGGGUGAGUAACGCGUGGGAAUCUACCCAGUUCUACGGAACAACUGAGGGAAACUUCAGCUAAUACCGUAUACGCCCUACGGGGGAAAGAUUUAUCGGAAUUGGAUGAGCCCGCGUUGGAUUAGCUAGUUGGUGAGGUAACGGCUCACCAAGGCGGCGAUCCAUAGCUGGUCUGAGAGGAUGAUCAGCCACACUGGGACUGAGACACGGCCCAGACUCCUACGGGAGGCAGCGGUGGGGAAUAUUGGACAAUGGGCGCAAGCCUGAUCCAGCCAUGCCGCGUGAGUGAUGAAGGCCUUAGGGUUGUAAAGCUCUUUCAGUGGGGACGAUAAUGACGGUACCCACAGAAGAAGCCCCGGCUAACUUCGUGCCAGCAGCCGCCGCGGUAA